rnacentral:rRNA from 1 species
AGAGAUCAAGUUAUAUUUGUUAAGGUAAAAAGGUAGUUAGAUACAAGUGUUUAUUAGUUUACUAAUUUUUUAUAUAAAAGUAAAAUUUGUAUAUAAAUAAAUAACUUAGGGUAAACUAAUUAUAUUGAUGCUGCGAUAGCUUUAAGGGAAACUGGGAUUAGAUACCCCAUUAUUUUUAGUUGUAAAUAAAUAAGAAUUUACCGGAGUACUAUGAAUUUUUUAAAAAUUUAAAACUCAAAGGACUUGGCGGUGUUUUAGACCUCUCAGGGGAACCUGUCUCGUAAUCGACAAUCCGCGUUAAACCUAACCUUUUUUUGCAUCUCAGUUUGUAUACCGUCGUCGUCAGGUAACUUUUUAAAAAUUAGAAGUUGGCAAUAAAAUUAAUAUUAAUUUAAACGUCAGAUCAAGGUGCAGCUAAUAUAAAGGUGAGGAUGGGUUACAAUUAAAAUUUAUAAUUACGGAUAUAAUAAUGAAAUAUUUAUUUUAAUGAAGGAGGACUUGAAAGUAAGAUAAUUAUAUAAAAAUAAUUUGAAUUAGGCUCUGAAACAUGC